UACUCACUUCAGCAGCACACAUAUUAAAUUGGAAUGAUACACAGAAGAUUAGCAUGGCUCUUGCAUAAGGAUGACACUCAAAUUCGUGAAGCAUUACAUAUUUUU